ensembl:miRNA MIR6831 microRNA 6831
GUAGGUAGAGUGUGAGGAGGAGGUCUGAGCCCAUGUGUGGACCUAGGUCUGCUGUUAAACUGACUAACUCCCACUCUACAG